GGCCAGACGUUCUCCGCCGAGAGUCGCCGUGGUUUCCUGCUUCAACAGUGCUUGAACGGAACCCGGCGCUCGCCCCCAGCCGCCCCCAGCCGCCGCUCCGAGCACAACCCUCCGCCAGCUCGUCACACCUCAGCCGCCGCCAUGACCACCGCCGCGUCCCCGUCUCAAGUGCGCCAGAACUACCACCAGGACUAGGAGGCAGCCAUCAACCGCCAGAUCAACCUGGAGCUCUAUGCCUCCUACGUCUACCUGUCCAUGGUGAGCGCCCCGGGCCUGGGGCUGGAGCGGGGCGCGGUCUCCCCGGGAGCCUCUCUGGGGAACCGGUGUGACUUCAUUGAGACUCAUUACCUGAAUGAGCAGGUGAAAUCCAUCAAAGAACUGGGUGACCAUGUAACCAACUUGCGCAAGAUGGGAGCCCCUGAAUCUGGCAUGGCAGAAUAUCUCUUUGACAAGCACACCCUGGGACAUGAUAAUGAGAGCUAAGCUGACUUCCCCAAAGCCACGGAGUGACUUCACAAGUCACUGAGGCAGUGCAUGCAUGUGGGGGCUACCUUUCCCUUUUCUAUAAGUUGCACCAAAACAUCAGCUUAAGUUCUUUAAUUUGUACCAUUCCUUCAAAUAAAGAAAUUUGGUACCCAAAAAAAAAAAAAAA